GCUUUGGUGUGUUAGUGGUAAUCUGUGUUGUUGUCGGAAAAAAAAAAAAACCGGGGAGCGACAUUGCAUUAAAAAUGAUGCAGACGUCCACGUCGUCGACCAAGUUCGACCCGCUGGGGGUUCGAUUCCCUCCCAAAGCA